GGCCCAGUCCCUCCCAGUUCCCCGUUGGGCCCAACUGGUGACUCAUGCUCACAUGGGGAGGGGGGAGGGUAUGGGGGAAAAACAGCGAGAUUUGGGCAUAAAAUGAAAAUAGGAGAAUUUGGGAGGGCUUUGGUGGGGAUGUGGCCAUUCUCACUGGUGGCCACUGGGACCUCGCUGGUGGCCAGGGGGACCUCCCCAUCCUUCCUCACUGACCAAAUGGGGCCAAAGCAACCCUUCCCCCUUUUUGCCCAAUUUCACUGCUUUUCUCCCCACAACCCUAAUUUUGGCGUCCCUCCCUCUCGGGAGGACCCGAGUGACAUCAUGGAGUCACGGGGGUCACACUCCCCCCNNNNNNNNNNNNNNNNNNNNNCCCCCCCCCCCCGGAAAUGGCACAACUCCUUCCCCAUUGGCUGCUUUUGGGUUGGUUUUCCCUUUUUUUGGGUGGUUUGGGGGCGGUUCCUGCGGGGGGGUGAGGGGUGGACAUUCAAGGAGAACCUGUCCCCAUCCCCUGGAAGUCCCUCCCCCCCACGCGAUGGAGCCCCUUCGCCUCCUCCUGCUGUGGGUUUUCCUCCCGUUGCUCCCGCUGCUGGUUCCCGCAGCGCUGCCCCCUGUCCCCCCAGCCCCGUCUCUGGGGGUGACCCCGCAGAAGCUCCAGUACCUCAUCGGCGACACGGUGUUCCUGCACUGCGCAGCCCCCCCUAGCACUCCCCAAGUGCAAGGAUUCCAGUUCUUGGGGGCAGGGGGGUGGGCCCUGGAGGUGCGGACCCGCCAGAGGAGCCAUGUCCAGACCUUUGACAUCAGGGGCCCAGGGGAUGGGGGGCGCCUCAGCUGCACCUACACCGUCCCUCACCCCGACGGAUCCCGGCGGCCUCUCCGCUCCCAGGAGAGUCCUGGCGUCUUCAUCAGCAUCAGAGACCGCCCGCCUGCCCCCACCCUGACCUUGACCCCUGGGGGAGGGGUCACCAUUGAAGGUCAGACCCUCCUCUUCCUUUGCGCGGCCCCGGCUGAAGUCCUCCCCCGCUGCUUCCGAUUCUUCAAGGAGAAGGAAGAGGUCAAGGACGAAGUCAACGAAGUCAAUGAGGUCAAGGUCAUAAGGGGGGUGGCCACUGCCCAUCUCCCUCUGGUGGCCACUGGCCACAACAUCACCGGCAAUUUCAGCUGUGGCUACGAGGAGGAGGUAGAGGGUCGCCGGAUCCUGUCCCACCUCAGCCCCCACCUCCAGGUGGUGGUCAAAGAGCCUCCUCUGCCGCCCACGUUGGGGGUGGACCCCCCCGGUGGGGUGGUGGGUGAAGGCCACCCCCUGCGUGUCACCUGCAAAGCCACCAGAGAGGACUUUCCCCUGAGGUUCCACUUCUCCAGGAACGGGACAGAGCUUCAGGGGUGGAAACCACAAAAUCUGGGGAUUUUGGCACAAAUUUUCAUCCCCCAAACUCCCACAAGCCUUGAGGGAACUUGGAGGUGUCAUGUGGAAGAGGACAUGGGGGGGAUGUGGGUGACAUCACCCCCCAGUGAACCCCUGGAGGUCACCAUCAAAGCUACCCCUUCCCAGCCCGCCUUGCUCCUGGACCCACCCACCGCAGAGGUCCCACCUGAUGCCCCCCUGCUGCUCACCUGCAUGGCCCAAGGUUCCACCACCCUCCGCAACUUUUCCUUCUACCAAGAUGGCGCCCAGCUCUUCUCGGUGACCACCAGCAGGGACCGGGCCACCUUCACCCUCCCCGUGGUAGCCAAUGCUACCCCAGCCACUGGCUUCAUCUUCUCCUGCCGCUACCAUGAGAAGAUCAAUGAUUGGUGGAUCUCCUCUCCCUUCAGCCAACCCGUGACGGUCACCACCCGAGUUCCCUCCCAGUUCAUCCCAUUGGUGGUCAGUUGUGUCGCUGGUGGUGCCACCCUAUUCGUCGUGGGGCUUCUAUUGGCCAUUUGGCUUUGCCGGAGGCGGAGAGGCCGUGUCCACUGGAGCGGCCUCCGCAACCGGGAUGACCCCAGCACCAUUCCCAUGGCCAACGUCGGCCCCUGUUGAUCCCCGUGAAGGUGACCCCCAACCUCUGCCAUGACAGUUGGGGGCAGAGAACACGCUGUCCCCUCGGCUUCGUAGCUCCCCCCCUCAGUGCACCCCCAUGUAAGGUCCCAGUUCUCAUGUCCAGUUUCUCACCCUGCUCAAUAAACAUCUCAAACCCUCUUCCCGCCUCUUCUUC
rnacentral:lncRNA from 1 species